rnacentral:rRNA from 1 species
AUUGAACGCUGGCGGCAUGCCUUACACAUGCAAGUCGAACGGUAACAGGUCUUCGGAUGCUGACGAGUGGCGAACGGGUGAGUAAUACAUCGGAACGUGCCUAGUAGUGGGGGAUAACUACUCGAGAGAGUGGCUAAUACCGCAUGAGAUCUACGGUUGAAAGCAGGGGAUCGCAAGACCUUGUGCUACUAGAGCGGCCGAUGGCAGAUUAGGUAGUUGGUGGGAUAAAAGCUUACCAAGCCGACGAUCUGUAGCUGGUCGGAGAGGACGAUCAGCCACAGCGGGACUGAGACACGGCCCAGACUCCUACGGGAGGCAGCAGUGGGGAAUUUUGGACAAUGGGCGAAAGCCUGAUCCAGCAAUGCCGCGUGCAGGAAGGAGGCCUUCGGGUUGUAAACUGCUUUUGUACGGAACGAAAAGCCCCGGGUUAAUACCCUGGGGUCAUGACGGUACCGUAAGAAUAAGCACCGGCUAACUACGUGCCAGCCGCCGCAGUAA